UCCACACUUUCUCUCUCCAGAUCUGUCUUUGGGAGAAUAGUUCUUUUUGCCAUAGGGCAAAAGAGUGGCCCAAUUACACCAAAUCUUUUCCCUUCCUACCUA